AGAGAGAGAGAGAGAGAGAGAGAGAGAGAGAGAGAGAGAGAGAGAGGUAGCUAUUCAUUUUGCAAAGUGCACUCAGGAGUUUAAAAGGAUUUCCUCUUUUAAUGGAGCGGACUGGUCACAUUUUUAUAUUACAGGGAGAGAACACCACCCGAGCCUCUUCCCCACCCAAAAAACGAGGUUGUAUAUUUUUUUUAUUGCUACGAACAUUGUCGCUCAUACACGAGUCCCUCAAAAAUGUGCCUCUUACGCUCUCUUCCUAUUGUCUUACGUUUCGGGGCUCACCCACCCACAUUUAGUAAGGCUUUCGUAGAGGUUGUGAUGUUAGUAUCGCCAUGGGUAGUGGUAUGAGGCUUUCGUAGAGGUUGUGGUGUUCGUAUUUCCGUGGGUAGUGUUAUAAGGUUUUCGUAGAGGUUGUGAUGUUAGUAUUGCCAUGGGUAGUGGUAUGAGGCUUUCGUAGAGGUUGUGAUGUUAGUAUUGCCAUGGGUAGUGGUAUGAGGCUUUCGUAGAGGUUGUGGUGUUCGUAUUUCCGUGGGUAGUGUUAUAAGGUUUUCGUAGAGGUUGUGAUGUUAGUAUUGCCAUGGGUAGUGGUGUGAGGCUUUCGUAGAGGUUGUGGUGUUCGUAUUUCCGUGGGUAGUGUUAUAAGGUUUUCGUAGAGGUUGUGAUGUUAGUAUUGCCAUGGGUAGUGGUGUGAGGUUUUCGUAGAGGUUGUGAUGUUAGUAUUGCCAUGGGUAGUGGUAUGAGGUUUUCGUAGAGGUUGUGAUGUUAGUAUUGCCAUGGGUAGUGGUAUGAGGCUUUCGUAGAGGUUGUGAUGUUAGUAUUGCCAUGGGUAGCGGUAUGAGGCUUUCGUAGAGGUUGUGGUGUUCGUAUUUCCGUGGGUAGUUUUGAGCGUAGUGAUAGCAUGACCAGGCUUCUACACCGUGAGCCCGAAAAAACUCGUAGGAACCAAAUUCUCCUUUUUUUUUCUUUAUUCCCUUGCAAAGAAGACAUUGGCAUUAAUGGUCUAAAUGCUCCUAUUCUCAAACAUUUCAAGGCUCACACGCAUAUUUGGUAAGGCUUCCGUAGAGGCUGUGGUGUUAGUAUUUCCAUGGGUAGUUUUAUGAGCCUAGUGAUAGUAUGGCAAGGCUUAUGUACCAUGAACACAAAAACACUCGAGAGAACGAUUAAACUCUUGUGGCCUUUGGAACUAUUAGGUGUGAGGCUUCUCUCUCUCUCUCUCUCUCUCUCUCUCUCUCUCUCUCUUAUUGCAGCAAGAGUGGCAUCAAAGUUCUGUAUAAUAUAAAUCCUCCCUGUGAAGUGGAAGUGUGUGUGUGUGUGUCGCGCCUUGAGUCCCAUCUCGCCCGCUGAGUCACGCGCGGCGAAGAAUAUAAACAGCAAAGAAAACGGGGAGCGGGGCGUAGAGUGGCAUCUCUCUCUCUCUCUCU